CCUACGGGAGGCAGCAGUGGGGGAUAUUGCACAAUGGGGGAAACCCUGAUGCAGCGACGCCGCGUGUGGGAAGACGGUCCUCUGGAUUGUAAACCACUGUCCCCAGGGACGAAGAUGACGGUACCUGGGGAGGAAGCUCCGGCUAACUACGUGCCAGAAGCCGCGGUAAUACUUAGGGAGCGAGCGUUGUCCGGAAUUACUGGGGGUAACGGGCGCGUAGGCGGGGAUGCAAGUUGGGUGUCAAAAGUACCGGCUCAACUGGUAGUCGCACUCGAAACUGGAGCUCUUGAGUGAAGUAGAGGCAGGCGGAAUUCCUAGUGUAGCGGUGAAAUGCGUAGAUGUUAGGAGGAACACCAGUGGCGAAGGCGGCCUGCUGGGCUUUUACUGACGCUGAGGCUCGAAAGUGUGGGGAGCAAACAGGAUUAGAUACCCCUGUAGUC
rnacentral:rRNA from 1 species